rnacentral:rRNA from 1 species
UACAGAGGGUGCAAGCGUUGUUCGGAAUUAUUGGGCGUAAAGCGCGUGUAGGCGGCUUUGCAAGUCGGGUGUGAAAUCCCUCAGCUUAACUGAGGAAGUGCGCCCGAAACUGCCGAGCUUGAGUACCGGAGAGGGUGGCGGAAUUCCCCAAGUAGAGGUGAAAUUCGUAGAUAUGGGGAGGAACACCGGUGGCGAAGGCGGCAUCCUGGACUGGUCCUGACACUCAUGAGCGAAAGCGUGGGGAGCGAUCCGG